UACGUAGGGUGCGAGCGUUGUCCGGAAUUAUUGGGCGUAAAGAGCUCGUAGGCGGUGUGUCACGUCGUUCGUGAAAACCUGCAGCUUAACUGUGGGCGUGCGGUCGAUACGGGCAUCACUGGAGUUCGGCAGGGGAGACUGGAAUUCCUGGUGUAGCGAUGAAAUGCGCAGAUAUCAGGAGGAACACCGGUGGCGAAGGCGGGUCUCUGGGACGGUAUUGACGCUGAGACGCGAAAGCGUGGGGAGCGAACAGG
rnacentral:rRNA from 1 species